UCUACAUAAGAGGCUAAGAUCGACCGCCAACCUAAUUUGGCACUACGGCACCAGAUUAUUUGCCUUUUGCAGAAAAACAAACAUUACAUUACAGCUGGAAGUAUCUUUGCCAUUCUUGUGGAGUCUGUUGCAACCAACCCAGAUAUAAAUGAAUCCUCUGAGACUAUUAGACUUUAGUUGGGACACAAUGAGUGCAGGCGGUUUGUUCAGCGGUGUGUCUCUCCCCUGGAUGUCUCACCUGACCGUGGCAAACCUGACCCUGACCCUGAGUCUGGGGCUCCCGGAGCAGUCCGUCCUCCAGCCGGCGUGGGACUACCUCCUGCAGCACCACCAGGCUGAGCUGCGGAGCCCUCUGUUUCCUGUAGUCAUCUCUGUCUCUACCUACCUUCUUCUGGUGACCCUCUACACCCUGCUAGACCUCCUGGCCCCCAGCUGGCCAGCCCUCAACAGCUACAAGCUCCACCCAGACAGACCUGUCACCUGGGACAACAUCUGGACCACCCUGUAUCUCACAGCCUACAACCACCUGGUCUAUAUCUUCCCUGCUGCUGUGGGCCAGUGGCUGUGGAGGCCUCCUAUCCCGCUCCCCCGUGACGCACCCACUCUAAUGAGCUUCCUCCUGGGCAUCCUGGGGUGCAUGGUGGUCUUUGACUUCCAGUUCUACCUUUGGCAUCUUCUACACCACAGAGUCCCAUGGCUGUACCGUACCUUCCAUGCCAUGCACCACCAGUACCUUCAGCCCUUCAGCCUGGUUACCCAGUAUGUGUCCGCCUGGGAGCUGAUCAGCUCGGGCUUCUGGACCACUGUGGACCCCCUCCUGCUGCAGUGCCACUGCCUGACCGCUUGGGGCUUCAUGGUGUUCACCAUAUGUGUGUCCACUGAGGACCACUGUGGCUACGACUUCCCUUGGUCGCUGCACCGCCUGGUGCCCUUCGGCCUGUGGGGCGGACCCCCCAAACACGACGCUCACCACCGGAUGCCCGGGACAAACUUUGCCCCGUUCUUCUCCCACUGGGACUGGCUGGGGGGGACUAACAUGGUGCCCACCCCCUCCAAAGAGAAAUAUGUUGAGGAAGGUCUGAAAGGAAAGAAGGAUAAAGGAGCUUGAGUGUUGCUUUUUUUCUCUCCUCCCUCUCUUCCUUGACCGCUUUUUGUGUGUAUUUCAUCCAAUCUUUCUCCCUUCCUUACUCCAUCUCUCCUGUCCACCUCUCUCUCGCUCUUCCCUCUUUUCCAUCUUUCUUUGUGUUCAUGAAAUGUAAUGACUUUACACUAACUGCGCUCUGUAGCGCUCUAUCAGAUCUCUGGUUUUGUAUGAUAUUGAUUUGUUUGGGAUUAAUCUGUGUUUUUUUUUUCAUUGGUUUCCAUGGCAUUCUCAGACGCUGUCAAUAAUCUCUUUGGCAGAGACCUCUACACUGCCCCUCCCACGUCAAAACACCUUCCUUGUGAUCCAUGAUCUUCAGCC